rfam:Myotis brandtii contig197988, whole genome shotgun sequence.
GAGACACCUUCAUGGAGCAGGACUUGCUUCAGUGGGGCUUUGGUGCUCACUGAGUCUGCCCCCUGAGUGUGUCAGU